rnacentral:rRNA from 1 species
GAUGAACGCUGGCGGCGUGCCUAAUACAUGCAAGUCGAGCGAACAGAUGAGGAGCUUGCUCCUCUGACGUUAGCGGCGGACGGGUGAGUAACACGUGGAUAACCUACCUAUAAGACUGGGAUAACUUCGGGAAACCGGAGCUAAUACCGGAUAAUAUAUUGAACCGCGUGGUUCAAUAGUGAAAGACGGUUUUGCUGUCACUUAUAGAUGGAUCCGCGCCGCAUUAGCUAGUUGGUAGGGUAACGGCUUACCAAGGCAACGAUGCGUAGCCGACCUGAGAGGGUGAUCGGCCACACUGGAACUGAGACACGGUCCAGACUCCUACGGGAGGCAGCAAUAGGGAAUCUUCCGCAAUGGGCGAAAGCCCGACGGAGCAACGCCGCGUGAGUGAUGAAGGUCUUCGGAUCGUAAAACUCUGUUAUUAGGGAAGAACAAAUGUGUAAGUAACUAUGCACGUCUUGACGGUACCUAAUCAGAAAGCCACGGCUAACUACGUG